rnacentral:rRNA from 1 species
UGCAGGAUCCCGCGAACCAUCGAGUUUUUGAACGCAAGUUGCGCCCGAAGCCUUCUGGCCGAGGGCACGUCUGCCUGGGUGUC